rnacentral:rRNA from 1 species
GACGAACGCUGGCGGCGUGCUUAACACAUGCAAGUCGAACGGAAAGGCCCUGCUUUUGUGGGGUUCCCGAGUGGCGAAGGGGUGAGUAACACGUGAGUAACCUGCUCUUGACUUUGGGAUAACUUCAGGAAACUGGGGCUAAGCCAGGAUAGGAGCCCCUGCUGCAUGGAGGGGGGUGGAUAGUCUCGGCGGUUGGGGAUGGAUGCGCGGCUUACCAGCUUGCUGGUGGGGUGGUUGCUUACCAAGGCAUUGGAGGGUACGCGGCCUGGGAGGGUGACCGGCCACAUGGGGCCUGAGAUAGGGCCCAGACUCCAACGGGGGGCAGCAGUGGGGAAUAUUACACAAUGGGCGGGAGCCUGAUGCAGCGGCGCCGCGGGCGGGAUGACGGCCUUCGGGUUGUAAACCGCUUUCGCCUGUGACGAAGCGUGAGUGACGGUAAUGGAUAAAGAAGCACCGGCUAACUACGUG